UUGUCUCAAAGAUAAAGCCAUGCAUGUCUCAGUACAAGCCAAAUUAAGGUGAAACCGCGAAAGGCUCAUUAAAUCAGUUAUGGUUCCUUAGAUCGUACCCACAUUUACUUGGAUAACUGUGGUAAUUCUAGAGCUAAUACAUGCAAACAGAGUUCCAACCGGAGACGGAAGGAAUGCUUUUAUUAGAUCAAAACCAAUCGGCGGCGGUCGCUUGCGAUCGUUCGCCGGCACACUUGGUGACUCUGAAUAACUUUAUGCUGAUCGCACGGUCUUGCACCGGCGACGCAUCUUUCAAAUGUCUGCCUUAUCAACUGUCGAUGGUAGGUUCUGCGCCUACCAUGGUUGUAACGGGUAACGGGGAAUCAGGGUUCGAUUCCGGAGAGGGAGCCUGAGAAACGGCUACCACAUCCAAGGAAGGCAGGAGGGCGCAAAUUACCCACUCCCGGCACGGGGAGGUAGUGACGAAAAAUAACGAUACGGGACUCAUCCGAGGCCCCGUAAUCGGAAUGAGUACACUUUAAAUCCUUUAACGAGGAUCAAUUGGAGGGCAAGUCUGGUGCCAGCAGCCGCGGUAAUUCCAGCUCCAAUAGCGUAUAUUAAAGUUGUUGCGGUUAAAAAGCUCGUAGUUGAAUCUGUGUCCCGUGCUGUCGGUUCACCGCCCGCGGUGUUAAACUGGCACGUUCACGGGACGUCCUGCCGGUGGAUUGGCUAUUGUAUUAUGCUAUUGUUUUCUGUUGCCAUGCGCAUUUGCAUUAUAUAAAUACGUUAAUAGCGUUUUAUGUGUGUAUAUUGUGUAUGUGUUUUCAGUUAAUAGUACAUUUUGCAGUACCAUCCGACUUUUAAUCCUGUCGCGGUGCUCUUAAUUGAGUGUCGAGGCGGGCCGGCACGUUUACUUUGAACAAAUUAGAGUGCUCAAAGCAGGCUAAAAUUUCGCCUGAAUAUUGUGUGCAUGGAAUAAUGGAACAGGACCUCGGUUCUAUUUUGUUGGUUUUCGGAACCCCGAGGUAAUGAUUAAUAGGGACAGAUGGGGGCAUUCGUAUUGCGACGUUAGAGGUGAAAUUCUUGGAUCGUCGCAAGACGGACAGAAGCGAAAGCAUUUGCCAAAAAUGUUUUCAUUAAUCUAGAACGAAAGUCAGAGGUUCGAAGGCGAUCAGAUACCGCCCUAGUUCUGACCAUAAACGAUGCCAGCUAGCGAUCCGCCGACGUUCCUCCGAUGACUCGGCGGGCAGCUUCCGGGAAACCAAAGCUUUUGGGUUCCGGGGGAAGUAUGGUUGCAAAGCUGAAACUUAAAGGAAUUGACGGAAGGGCACCACCAGGAGUGGAGCCUGCGGCUUAAUUUGACUCAACACGGGAAACCUCACCAGGCCCAGACACCGGAAGGAUUGACAGAUUGAGAGCUCUUUCUUGAUUCGGUGGGUGGUGGUGCAUGGCCGUUCUUAGUUGGUGGAGCGAUUUGUCUGGUUAAUUCCGAUAACGAACGAGACUCUAGCCUGCUAACUAGGCGUACUUUACCGGUAUCUCGAAGGCUCACAGCUCCCUUAUCGGUGUGUGCUGCACGUUAUUGUCAUUCUUGCAUUUCGGUGUUAAGUUAUGUACUUUAGCGUGUUUGUACAUUUCCGUUUGUGGAGUUUGUGGUUUUUACUACCGGCGUACAAUUGAAUCUUCUUAGAGGGACAGGCGGCUCCUAGCCGCAUGAGAUUGAGCAAUAACAGGUCUGUAAUGCCCUUAGAUGUUCUGGGCCGCACGCGCGCUACACUGAAGGAAUCAGCGUGUCUUCCCUGGCCGAACGGUCCGGGUAACCCGCUGAACCUCCUUCGUGCUAGGGAUUGGGGCUUGCAAUUGUCCCCCAUGAACGAGGAAUUCCCAGUAAGCGCGAGUCAUAAGCUCGCGUUGAUUACGUCCCUGCCCUUUGUACACACCGCCCGUCGCUACUACCGAUUGAAUGAUUUAGUGAGGUCUUCAGACCGGUACGCGAUGACGUUUCGACGUUAUCGAUGUCGCUGGGAAGAUGACCAAACUUGAUCAUUUAGAGGAAGUAA
rnacentral:rRNA from 1 species